rnacentral:lncRNA from 1 species
GGGUGGUGAAAUUUUCGAUCAAUUGCUAAACACAUCAUUCACUCAAAUCAUUAUGACAUCCGGUCCAAUCAUGCAAUUACACUAUCGAAACUACCUAAUAUGAUUACAAGACACUUUAACGGUUGCCACUACAACAAUUACCACCGGAUGAUCUUGCGUCCAUGGAGGGAAAUGGUUCACUAGCCGCAUUUUGGCUGCACAAAAAAAAAACAGAACAACAAAACAUUAUAAGCAACACCAGUUAAGGGUGCAUUAGAAUUUGGUGAGUCGUGAGGCUUAUGAUCUGAUAACUCUAUUUCCCCUAAUGCAGAACUCAAGUUCAGCCAAGCAAGCUCUGGAGGGUGGAGCUAAUGAGAACUCGAAUCCCAAGAUCAUCCAAGUACUGGGGUACGGGUGAAACACCAAGUUGUGCCUGAAGAGUCUAUUAGGACUACUUCAAUGGACUUCAGGAUGGAAAAUUUGAAUUAUCCAAAGAAUGAGGAACCACAAAAUACUCAUAUUGGACCAGCAGUUGAGUUAUCAAGAAAUGUUGAAUCAUCAAAUGGAACUAAGGAAGCAAGUGAUCCUCCUGGUGACAAACUUGUGUUAGGCUCUCAAUUACCACCACAGCAAGAAGAGGCAGAAAGCGGCGAUUUUGAUUAUUCAGCAAAACUUCAAACUCAGAAUCGACCCUAUUAACUUAACAAUGAUAAUUUACAUCAAAACAUGCUUAACUUAACACACAAACUCAUCAAAAAUAAUUAACAAUGAUAAUUUACAUCAAAACACGCUUAACUUAACACACAAACUCAUCAAUUUCAUAAAUUAAAACAAGAAAAUGUACCUACAUAAAAUAGACAUAUUGGUGUUACUCCCAAGAAAGUUGCAUUUUAAGCAUGAUUCGUUAGUAGUAGUAACAUUAUUUAACAACCAGCUAUUAUGAUAGCGUCAUAAAUAUCCCAUCCAUUCUUAAACCAAAGAUUUCAAGAAAUGUGUUUUUAAGAAAAAUGGAAUUAAAUGCUUAAAUUAUAUCUGAUAUUACUAACAUAUUGGAAACUACUCAAAUUGUGAUUGAUUCAACAUAUGCAUGAAACUAUAUCCAUAAUUAUUUUAGAGAAACACACAAGAACCUUGAGCAUUGUCGAACUCACCAUCAUAAUUCCAUAAACAAUGUAUCAACCCUAUCAGAUUCCAGCUCUUCCUCUAUUUCACGAGGAAUGGAGAGAAAUAGUGAUUGAGGAUAAUAUGUGAUUGUGAUGCCCUGAUGGAUCAGGAGCUCUUCUUGAAACUCUUCUUGAAACAAGAAGAGAAACUUGUCACGGUUAGGAAACGAAAUAGACACCACCCAUUAGCAAUGGAUGGACAUUGCAAUGUUUUCCUACACCAAAGAAUCAGUUGAGUAUGGAAGGCUACACUUAAAAAAUAAACUUUUUUAAAAGUACCUUCAUAUUCGCAAUGUCUAAGCCCACAGUUCUCAUUUUAACAUAGUAACAAAAAAAAACUAGCACAAUAAUUCCCUAGUACAAAUCUGGAAGACACAGUGAAACUUGUUAGGCCAGCCUAAUAAUUCAAUAGGUUUUGGUCAUGGAACAUGGCUAGUUUAGCUACAAGUACCGGGCUGAGUAGUUCUAUCCACCAAGACUUGAACAAACAAGAAGAAGAUAUCACCAAACAGUGUCUUUGGAAGAGUUACAGUAGUAAAUGGCUCAAAAUCCAUUUCCAAAAUGUUUCCACGGGUAAAAUAAAUGAGACACAGAUAUAAGAAUCAAACAAAAAAAAAACUCAUUCACAAAGAAAAAAAUUGUAGAGUACUAUUAUCUUCAAAUUCAUUGACUCAAAACUACCUUUGACAAGCACGAGUCACUGCAAAUGAAACCUAGAAGGCUGACAGGCAUUGUAAAGACAUUUGCGAUAAAAGACAUUGUAAAUGUAAAAGAGGUGACACAAAAGUGUCAAAUAUCAAAAGGGGGUUUUGUAUCAAGUACUAAAACAGCAAAAUAAACAAGAAAAUCAAGUAUGGGGAAAGGUUCUUGGGAUGUGACCGCAAUACAAGUAGAGAUAAAUUGUUGAGUACAUGCUUUCGAUCGGAGAUUUGCAAAAUAAUAGUGACUAGGCUAAGCUUUAAAUGGAAAUAAGUUCCCUUUCGGGAAACUUACCCCGUUUCAAAUGUGUUCCUCUCGGACACCCAUUUGCCGCAUGAAGACCAGCCUACUCCUUACCCACUCACUCUCUCAAGCUGAGUGUUAGGAUAUGGGACUAGGGCUCACCCUCUCAGGCUAAACCUCAUGUUGACCCACUCAUUAGGCCAUCAGUCUAGUGGUUUUGGUUUCGCGACCUCCCUCUCAGAAAAGCCGAAAACACAUGGGUGGCUUUGUAUUUGCAACUACAAACCCUUUAGAUUAAACCACAACCACUAGGUGAAAUCACCAUUAAAAUACAUCUAACCUAUCAGCAAGCAAGACCCAACAAGAAUAUCAACCUAUAUUUGCUAAAUCACACCCCAAGAAUGGGGUUUUUAGCCACACAUCAAGAAAUAAUAAAUUAAACCUUGAAUUAAGCAAAGGAAAGUGAAUAAACAAGACCCACUUCCAACUUGGAGAAGAAGAACUCCUUUCUUCAAGUCUCCACAAAACCCUCUCCAAACUUGAGAGAAAAAUAUUAGCUAGAAUAUGUUCUAAAGUGAAAAAUAAUAACAAUAUGUUCCACUCCUCCAUUCUCUCUUAAGACUACAAUUCUAAAUAGUAUUCAUAAUUUUCACAGAUUGUGCUGCGGAUGAUUGUUCGGCGACAUUAGUCGAGAUCACCGAUGAACUCAGCGAUCCGCCCUUUGGUCAGCUCAUCGCCUUCAGUGUCUUGCCUUUAGCAUCAUCGCAUUGUGGAUCAUUGGGUGGUACAGUAUUGCUUCGCGGAACUGAUCGACGACUUGCCGAUUGCUCCUUUCCUCGCCUUUUGAUCCACUUCCUUCAAGGCUUCGCGUACUGGAACAAAGGGCGGUUCAUGUCGUUUCGACGACUCGCCAAGUUAAACUCGGCGAUCCGCAAGAUUCCAUUUCUUGUCUUUUCAGCCCUAUUUGCUCCGUUUUGCGCCUAAGUGUCCAUGCUUCCACUAAAAUUUCAACAUUUUAAUCAAGUAUUUAGAUAAAAAAGCAUUCAAGGACACGAAGCCCCACGAGGCCGGUUGUCCCCUUCCUGCUCCCCUAGGGCCGGCACUCGAAGCCCCUCAAGGCCAACCCUUCCUAGCCGCCCUUGAGAACGACCCUUACGCCCCCUGAGAACAACCCUGCCACCCCUCGAGGCUGGACCCGCCCUUCAAGGACCAGACUGCCCCUUGAGUCCUGCCACGCCCCUGGAGGCCAAAACCUCCCAUCGAGCCCGCCCCCAAAGGCCGGCACUGCCUCCUAGAGGCCACCCCCUCUCUUGAGGCCGGCCUAACCCAGAGCUCUGCCCCGCCCCUCGAGGCCGAACCUAACCCUCAAGGUUGGCCCUGUCCCCCAGAGGUUGGUACCCUCAUUUGAGGUUGGCCCCAACCCCCUUAGUCGGCCCCUCCCCUAGAGGUCGUCCCCACACACGAGGCCCCGCCCCCAAGGCCUGCUCCGAGGCCCCAGAGGUCGACCCCUCCCUCGAAUCCACCUCAUUCCCUUGAGGCCCCGCCCCCCUCACUCGUGGCAGCCAGAACCCCCAGAGGACAGUCCUUUUUGAUAUAUACUACAAUAAUUGCACUAUCAGCUCAAAUAGCUCAAAUUAGAUUCUGGUAAUGUGAUAAACAGCAGAAAUAUCCAUCAUUUUGCCGAAACGCACUAAGAGCUUUCUUUAUGGAAUUGGAAUCUAUGCUCUAUGUUGUCACCAAUUCUACAAAAUAUAUGAAGUUCUCAUAUAUACAUAAAAGUUAGAGACUUUGCUAGUCCUAGUCCUACUCUUAACCCAAUCAUUCUUUUCAAGGUGGAGGUGGCAGAAAAAAUGCACAAUUUAUGCCCUUUCAUUCUUAUUAGCUACUCGAGAGCAAGAAAAGCGCAUGGACUUAUUAAAAAGUAAAGAAGCACAUACCAUAUCAGCUACUUAGAGAUGACAAGUACUCUGCCCCUUGGUCAAACAACACUAAAAUUACUCAACCGGAACACAAGCCACUCUUAACAGGUAUCAUAAAAUGUUACCAUUAGAAUCAUCCAAACACCUAAGUGAAUCUUACAAGUCCCUCAAUUUAGAAAUUACAAGUUCUAAAAAACAAAGCACUAUUCUCCAAAGUUUUAACCAGAAAAAAAAAUGAUCACCAAUCUCCCAUGUGAAAUAAAUUGGCAUCUGAUAAUGGUUUUUAUUCCAUUUUGUUUUGUGAAUGAGGAACUAUGCAACUGUGUUUCUUAUGCUCUUUCAAUAACCCACAACUAACUGAAAAUCAAAACAGUCCAUUGGGGAAAGAGAAAAAGUGAAAACUUUUGCUUUCAACCCAGAUCACAAAGUGGAUAUAGAACCAAAUUAACAACUAAACAGUACAUUUGUACCCUACCAUUAUCACUGAAUCUGUAAAAUUCUCAAGCUCACAAUGACAAUUUUGCCUUGAAAACUAAAACCCCUAUUGGGGAAAGAGAGCGAAAAAAUUUGCUUUCAACCCCAGAUCACAAAGCAUUAAGGAACUAAAUUUACAACUAAGCAGUACAUAAGCAUACCCUACUCCAUUGUCAGCACUCUUCAAGAUUAACAAGCUCACACAGUCAAAUCAAAAUAGAAUUUCGCAACAUACUUCUUAUGUACUCAUGUCUUAUUCUAAUACUUGUUCAACAAGCUUUUAUAGAAAUUUGAUUAGGCAAUCUGGUGCUAUAAAAGAAUAUGACAAUUAAUAAAUAAGUUACAAAUCAAAUUAGAAGAUGAAAGCAUAUGUUAUUGCACUCCUAACAUGUGGCUCUGUUGUAGUUUUGGUUUUGUAUUGUGGUGACCGAGAGGAAUAAUGUGCUUGUUUCUGCUCCACAUGUUUCAACCCAGAUCAUAAAGCCAUUUAAGAACCAAAUUAACAAUUAACCAGUACACAUACAUCAUUGUCACUCACAAUGUAAAUUUUCCCUUGAAAGUUCAAACUCACAUCGACCCAGAUCACAAAAGGGGUUGGUCGAAUGAUAACCACCUUCCUCUUCCAACCCUAAGAUUGUUGGUUCGAAACUUCGAAUCACCAAGAGAGCAAGGAGGAUGAUGCUAAAAAAAAUCCCAGAUCACAAAGCUAAUAAAGAAACAAGAAAUUAACAAGUAAUCCAAACAUAGCGCAUCAGGAUUUAUAUUCUUACCCAUUGUUAUUGUCAAUUUUACCUGUAGAUUUCUCUUGUCCAUUCUUUCCUACUCUAUUUAUGUUCAUCCGAUUGAAGGGUCCUCCCUUAAUGUGUGAUUUUAGGCCUAUGGGUGUGACAGUUUCUUUGAGAAAAGACUGAAAUUGUAGUGAUGAGAGUGUUGGCUGAUGAAUCUUGUCGAAAUUCGCCAUGAAAGAAAAUAGAGAAUUCAAC